rnacentral:lncRNA from 1 species
GUAGAACUCAGAGAUGGAGCCGGCGCCACCUGACUAGGGAGGACUAGUUUAGAUCUCCAGAUUCGGACCACCUGACAUGGUUAAACAGCCCUGGCUUAACGUUCCAGACACUGCUGCCAAUACUUGCGGCUGUUAGUUCCUGAUUUCUGCUUAAGGCUUUGCAGUUCUGCUUAUAGUCCUGUGAUCAGAGACACUUCCUCCUGUGGCAGCUGAAUUCCACGUUUCCCGAAACAGGAUUUCCCUAUUUUGUAGAGAACUUCCAUGAUUGAAUCUUCCUGCUUCUGGAAAUAAAAUGGGUAGUCCCUUGCAUACAAAGCUUGGAGGGUGUCUCUCAUUCUUCUCUUCUUCUGCUUUUUCUCAUCUACCUGAGAAUAAUUUUAAAUGGAUCGAAGGAAUGAAUGUCAGCCACCAAACUGAGAAGUUGACUUGCCUUUAAUCACCUGUAACUUUGUUAGAAUAAUAAAUUCUGUAGAAAGCUAA